UCCCUGACGAGUGGACACACUGGGUGCCAGGUAACGCAUCGCCGUCAUAGGAGGUAUUCAAGUUUACAGUCCUUUACCAUUAAGUAGGCCUUGGUGAGUGACUCGAUUUUUAGGAACACAGAAUCGUGCUACAAUAUGUGGGCGUUGUUUUCUUACAUCUGUUGAGUUUUCAGGAAGACCGUCUUACUGCUAGUACUCCUGGCUACACGUUGGAACUUGCUUCAACUGUCAGCGGUGUCCAAUCAUGAGUUCAGCACGAACUUCAGCUGCAAUACCCACGGUCGGCCCACGGUUAUCUUUGUUGCUAAGGUCAAAUUUGAAAACAAGUGGAAGGCCUCCGAAACACAACUAUUGGACUUAUAUAUCGGUUUGGCCUUCUUACUCAAAAUGCCAGUUAGCUGCUGUAACAAAGACCAAACCUCUGCAGGGAAAAUGAGUUGCGUCGUUAUAAAGCGCCUCCCCUUAACAACUAUGAGAACUGAAGUGUAUUUUUUAUCCGCUUGCCGUUGUCCCUUCACUUUAUGGAUUCCACCACUUGAAUGAUAUACGAAGAGGGUUAAAUUUUCCAAGCAACAUGUUCAACUUCAAGCACCAUACUUGUCUGGCCUCAUUUAUGCUUCCUACAAUCCGGGAAGCAUCGGAUAGCAAAUAUCGCUGAUCAUGACGAAAACAUGAGCAAGUCUACGUGGAACAGGAAAUUCGCUACAGUUGCAUAAAGUAAUUGAAUUUGCAGUAUCCUCAGUGCCAGUUUAUUUGUUAGUCAAGACGUCAAGAAUGGGAAGAAAUUUGACACGGGUGCAGCUGAUUGGACAUAUCCCGACUCGGAAUGCUUUACCCAUCUCAUGUUCCCCAUCCAGACUUCGGAGCACAUUUGUUAACUUUUAUUCAUUUUUCCUUUAUUAACUUAGACAGUAGACACUAAAUUGUGAUGCAACAUUCAUCCAAUAUGCGAAUGCCAACAACACCAAACUACAGCAAUAUGAACAACUUCUGUUGACGAAAACCUUGGACGAAUAGAAUUUUCUGGAUAAGAUUCAAAAUUUUCCACAACCGUUGUGCAUGCCUGCUCCCUGGUGGCAGCCACUGACAUUACAAUGACAUUAUAUAUAACAUUUCUGUACGAUUGACGAACGCAAAAACUGAUCUGCCACGCCCGAUAAAUAAUAGUUUCACAUUUACUUUCAA